UUCUUACCUCAUCUUUCAGACAACACUAGAGAGUGAACUACAAAACCUUUACCAAAUGGGGUUCGUCUCAAAUCCAUCGACUAUGUCCAGUUUCUCACCUAAUGGUCGAUUGAAACCAGAGCUCUAGAAGUUCAAG